AUACGGAGGGGGCUAGCGUUGUUCGGAAUUACUGGGCGUAAAGCGCGCGUAGGCGGUUUGUUAAGCGAGAUGUGAAAGCCCUGGGCUCAACCUGGGAACUGCAUUUCGAACUGGCAGGCUAGAGUACAAGAGAGGGUGGUAGAAUUUCCUGUGUAGCGGUGAAAUGCGUAGAUAUAGGAAGGAAUACCAGUGACGAAGGCGGCCACCUGGCCCGGUACUGACGCUGAGGUGCGAAAGCGUGGGGAGCAAACAGGAUUAGAAACCCUGGUAGUCC
rnacentral:rRNA from 1 species